rnacentral:rRNA from 1 species
GACGAACGCUGGCGGCGUGCUUAACACAUGCAAGUCGAGCGGUAAGGCCCUUUCGGGGGUACACGAGCGGCGAACGGGUGAGUAACACGUGGGUGACCUGCCCUCAGCUCUGGGAUAAGCCUGGGAAACUGGGUCUAAUACUGGAUAUGACUCCACGGUGCAUGUCGUGGGGUGGAAAGCCUUGUGCGGCUGAGGAUGGGCCCGCGGCCUAGCAGCUUGUUGGUGGGGUGAUGGCCUACCAAGGCGACGACGGGUAGCCGGCCUGAGAGGGCGACCGGCCACACUGGGACUGAGACACGGCCCAGACUCCUACGGGAGGCAGCAGUGGGGAAUCUUGCGCAAUGGGCGAAAGCCUGACGCAGCGACGCCGCGUGAGGGAUGACGGCCUGGU